GUAACAAGGUCUCCGUUGGUGAACCAGCGGAGGGAUCAUUACUGAGUUACCGCUCUAUAACCCUUUGUGAACAUACCUAACUGUUGCUUCGGCGGGCAGGGGGUGCCGCCUGCGGACCCCCCUCCCGGCCCUGCCCUCACGGGCGGAGCGCCCGCCGGAGGAUACCAAACUCUAUUUUAACGACGUUUCUUCUGAGUGGCACAAGCAAAUAAUUAAAACUUUCAACAACGGAUCUCUUGGUUCUGGCAUCGAUGAAGAACGCAGCGAAAUGCGAUAAGUAAUGUGAAUUGCAGAAUUCAGUGAAUCAUCGAAUCUUUGAACGCACAUUGCGCCCGCCAGCAUUCUGGCGGGCAUGCCUGUUCGAGCGUCAUUUCAACCCUCAAGCUCUGCUUGGUGUUGGGGCCCUACGGUUGACGUAGGCCCUUAAAGGUAGUGGCGGACCCUCUCGGAGCCUCCUUUGCGUAGUAACUAACGUCUCGCACUGGGAUUCGGAGGGACUCUUGCCGUAAAACCCCCAAAUUUUUAAAGGUUGACCUCGGAUCAGGUAGGAAUACCCGCUGAACUUAAGCAUAUCAAUAAGCGGAGGAACCUU
rnacentral:rRNA from 1 species